GCUAGUGUGGCACAUUGGUUUGAGUGUUGGACUACAACUCUGGAGACCAGGGUUCGAUUCCCAGCUCAGACA
rnacentral:tRNA from 1 species